GUGUAUAAGAAAGCAGGAUGAGAGGGCCGCUGCAGAGGCAAAAGCGCAAGCGGUCAUCGAUGAGGACUACAAGAAACUCGGACCUCUAUCGUUUGCGGAGAGUGCCAUCGCUUUCUUCUUCAUCAUCUUCGCCUUCCUCCUCUUCACCAGAGAUCCCAAGUUUGUCACUGGAUGGUCCGUUUUCUUCAACAAAGGGUACGUUUCGGAUGCAGUAACAGGCGUCAUUAUCGUCUCCAUCUUGUUCUUCUUCCCUUCCCAGAAACCCUCCCUCAGCUGGUGGUUCGACCCCAAAGGUCAGUCUGUAUGUGUGUGUAUGUGUGUGUGUGUGUGUGUGUGUAAAUACAUGGUGAGGAAUUUUAAUGGAGCAGCUUAGCUUGUCUGAGCCCACGUUGUUAGACUGUGUUAGAGUGAGUGUGUGGGGGUAAGUGUGUAUGUG